AGUGUAACAAGGUUUCCGUAGGUGAACCUGCGGAAGGAUCAUUA
rnacentral:rRNA from 1 species